UUCUGCUCGUAGUUGGAUUUCUGUUGUAUAAUCUAUAAUAUUACUAAGGUAUAUAUUAUAUUAUCAACAUCCUUCCUAUUAUAUUUCUAAAUAUAUAGGAAACUUUACUUUGAGAAAAUUAGAGUGCUUAAAGCAGGCAACUGCCUUGAAUACUCCAGCAUGGAAUAAUAAGUAAGGACUUUUUCUUUCUUAUUGGUUCUAGGACAAAUAGUAAAGGU
rnacentral:rRNA from 1 species